rnacentral:rRNA from 1 species
UACGUAGGUCCCGAGCGUUGUCCGGAUUUAUUGGGUGUAAAGGGCGUGUAGGCGGGAAUGCAAGUCAGAUGUGAAAACUCAGGGCUCAACCCUGAGCCUGCAUUUGAAACUGUAUUUCUUGAGUGCUGGAGAGGCAAUCGGAAUUCCGUGUGUAGCGGUGAAAUGCGUAGAUAUACGGAGGAACACCAGUGGCGAAGGCGGAUUGCUGGACAGUAACUGACGCUGAGGCGCGAAAGCGUGGGGAGCAAACAGG